rnacentral:lncRNA from 1 species
AAAGUUAAGGACUGAGCUUGUGAGGUGAAACAACUAGCCUAGCUGACAGUCAGGCUCUCCCUCCCCUCUUGCUCCUUCACCAUUCUGUCAACCUUUUACAGCACACACCACUUACUAGCUAUCAUACUUUUAAAAAUUGCUCGCUUAUUUAUCUGUCUCCAACACUACAGCAUAAGCUCCAUUUAGCUCAGGAACUCUGCCCUUGUUGUCCUCUCCUGUAUUCCCCACACUGAGGAUAAGUGAUUGAACUGAAUAGUUACCCUGUGUUACUUAACAUUGAAUGAAUGAAUGAGUUCAAUGAGGUGCUUGUUGAGAGAGAGACACAUACACACACAGACACCUGUCACCAGAUCAACCCUGCCAUUUAAGUAUUGUUAUAUUUAUAAUCCAGGACGUCUGAAUUCCUGCCUCCUUUUUAAGACUCUUUAGAGGGAGAUUUAACACAUGCAGGUAGCUGACUUGUGUAAGGUUUUAUGCCCUGUUUAGCCAGUGCCAUGCCUUUUGCAGUGCAUUUUAUUUCAUUCUCGUGGAGAACAGAGACUGCUUUUUGCCAUCUUGGCACAGGGGGUCAUGUGUGGUUGUCAUUAGUCAGUUCCCCUAGGGAUCUCAUGAGAACAGAUCAUAUGAAGCAAUCACGUUAAAUAUCAUAUUUCUUAUCUAUCCUCAUCAGUCUUGGUCCCCCAGGUUACCACUAGCAAAGAAAAGAGGAAAACAGUAAGCUGUAACACAUAGAGAUGGCUUUGGGUUAGAAAGACUUCCACUCUUAGCUAGUCUUUCUUGGGCAAGUUGCACAGUCUCAUAGGGUCUCAGUUCCCUUAGCUGGGUAAGUCGUACCUACUUGGCAUGGCAGAAGUGAGCUCUGUUUACAGUGUGGGUAAUGUGUAUAUUACACAGCUAGCCUCCUGGCAAAUCUCUGUGGGUAUGAUGUCCUCAUUAAAAAAUGAAAUGGGCGGGUGUGUAUGUGUCAGUGAAAACAUUACCAACUGGAGGUACAGUGUUGAG